CCUACGGGAUGCACCAGUGGGGAAUAUUGCACAAUGGGCGCAAGCCUGAUGCAGCCAUGCCGCGUGUAUGAAGAAGGCCUUCGGGUCGUAAAGUACUUUCAGCAGUGAGGAAGGUUCAUGCGUUAAUAGCGUAUGGAUUUGACGUUAGCUGCAGAAGAAGCACCGGCUAACUCCGUGCCAGCAGCCGCGGUAAUACGGAGGGUGCGAGCGUUAAUCGGAAUUACUGGGCGUAAAGCGCAUGCAGGUGGUUUGUUAAGUCAGAUGUGAAAGCCCGGGGCUCAACCUCGGAAUUGCAUUUGAAACUGGCAGACUAGAGUACUGUAGAGGGGGGUAGAAUUUCAGGUGUAGCGGUGAAAUGCGUAGAGAUCUGAAGGAAUACCGGUGGCAAAGGCGGCCCCCUGGACAGAUACUGACGCUCAGAUGCGAAAGCGUGGGGAGCAAACAGGAUUAGAUACCCGUGUAGUC
rnacentral:rRNA from 1 species